rnacentral:tRNA from 1 species
GCUCGUGUAGCUCAGCAGGUAGAGCAUAUGGCUGUUAACCAUAGGGUCGUUGGUUCGAGUCCAACCACGAGCG